rnacentral:lncRNA from 1 species
AGUCCCACAAGCAGCGAGACUGCAGACUGCGGCGCUGGCUGGGGCCACUCCUCCCGCGACACUCCGAAACUGCUCCCCUUUCCCUUGGGAUUUCUAAGGGUUCGGACCAGCUAAGACCCCUCCCUUUAAGUCCAGCCCGGGGAAGGGGAGGCGGAGAGAGCCUUGCGGAAGCAGUGCCACAGGAAAACCCCGUGUCCCCUGCCCAGCUGGCAGGAGUGGCCCUGGCGGCGCGCGCCCAGCCGCUCCCAGGAGCGGAAUUGAGAGCUCUGGAUAUGCAGAAGGCAAGGAAAGGAGACGGUACAAAAACACACCCGAGGCGCUUGCUGUUGUACCAUUUAUCUAUCAGUCACUAAUGAAUAUUAUUCUCCCAUAACUAUGUAUAAGCUAUGUAUAUGAAUUACUAUGGAUAUUCUGUAUACUGGAGCUGCACUCGUGCACAAGACAUGGAACAAAUCCAGUAGUUUCCAAAGUCCAAAUCUAAUUAGGAAAUACUACAGAAUCAACUCUGGACUCAGCAUCUCCUUCCUCCUGUCUACAUGGUCACAUACUGGUUUUCGAGGUUCCAUCUUUGCUAAUGAAGAAGGUUGCUUUGGAAAUACAGAACAAGAGUAGGAGACGUACCUCAGAGGUGGAGCACUUGCUUGUUAUAUGCAAGGUCUCCACUUUGAUCCCUGAUGGUGGAAAAUAAAAUAAAGUGCAAAGAAAAAAUGUCAAGACACCGGCACCAAGAUGAGAAGAUUUGACAACAUUCUGUCAUGAAAAAUAAAUGUUGGCAGGAUCUGGGAUUGAUGAGGCAAGGCUCCAGGCACGUCUGUGAAGGGUUCUGGUGACUCUGUUAGCCUCUGGGCAUACCCGUGGGAGGCUAUUGUGAUUAGGCUAAUUGAGGUGGGAAGACCUGCCCACAAUGGUUGGUAUCAUUCCCUAGGCUGUGAGCUGUGCCAUAAUAGGCAUUGCUUUCUGCUUCCUGACUGUGGACACGGUGUGACCAGCCACCUCAAGCUCCUACCUUCCUUCCUACCUUGCCAUAAUGGACUUGCCCUU